AUGAGAGAGAAAAGCGACAUUAUUGUGAAACCGUGUAUUUCAACAACUCAGAGGAGUCUAUUUUAUAUAGGUUCGAAGGAAUAUAAACAAAUGGAAUAUAGGAGAUAUUAUUCCUAUUUGCAAUUGCAUGAUAUGAUACAAUAUAAUAUAUCUACAAUAAAUACAAAUAUCAUAAUAUAUUUUCAACACAACCCCUCAAGCUAG